rnacentral:misc_RNA from 1 species
CUGCUCGGGAUCUAUCUCGCGGGCGAGAUGGUGGCGCGAAUCCACAGCGAGACGGCGGUCCCGGCAACGCACUGACGCGAAAACCGGUGCCGGUUGGCUCCGACCGUGCUAGGCGUGCUGCAUGAUCCGGGUCACACGCGACAUCACCAUUNGAGAAGGACCUCGACAUUGCGUUCGUUCGCGCCUCAGGCCCGGGCGGACAGAAUGUCAACAAGCUCUCGACCGCGGCGCAAUUGCGCCUCGACGUCGGCCGCGUAACGCUUGCGCCGGAUGUGUUGACGCGGCUGACCGCGCUCGC